AUGAACACACGGUCGGUGGCCAGCGUGUGGGGCUUCAGCACGGCGUUCAACGGGCUGAUGACGCGCGGCGGCGUGGCAAACGCUGUGGCGACGGUGCUGCGCGGCGAGGAAGCGGACCGUAUGAGGGCCAAGGCGCAGGAGCUGCAGGUCAUGGUGGGCAAGGCAUUCCAGCCGGACGCGGCUGCAGGAAGAACUUUGAUGAGUCCUAGCCACAACCACAGGCCACAACCACUAUAG
rnacentral:rRNA from 1 species